AACGCACAUUGCGCCCCUUGGUAUUCCGAGGGGCAUGCCUGUUCGAGCGUCAUUAUGACCACUCAAGCCUAGCUUGGUAUUGGGGUUCGUGGUACACGGCCCUUAAAAUCAGUGGCGGUGCCGUCUGGCUCUAAGCGUGGUAAUUUUUCUCGCUAUAGGGUCUGGUGGUUACUUGCCAAAACCCCUCAACUCUUACGGUUGACCUCGGAUCAGGUAGGGAUACCCGCUGAACUUAA
rnacentral:misc_RNA from 1 species